rnacentral:rRNA from 1 species
UCACUAGUGAUUAGAGUUUGAUCAUGGCUCAGAAUCAACGCUGGCGGCGUGCCUAACACAUGCAAGUCGAACGCGAAAGCCCCGCAAGGGGUUAUUAGAGUGGCGAACGGGUGAGUAACACGUGGGUGACCUACCUUCGAAUGGGGGAUAACGUCCCGAAAGGGACGCUAAUACCGCAUAACAUCCUGCUUUUGAACAAGUGGAGAUCAAAGCCGGGGAUCGCAAGACCUGGCGUUUGAAGAGGGGCCCGCGUCUGAUUAGCUAGUUGGUGAGGUAACGGCCCACCAAGGCGACGAUCAGUAUCCGGCCUGAGAGGGCGGACGGACACACUGGGACUGAGACACGGCCCAGACUCCUACGGGAGGCAGCAGUGGGGAAUUGUUCGCAAUGGGCGCAAGCCUGACGACGCAACGCCGCGUGGAGGACGAAGAUCUUCGGGUCGUAAACUCCUGUCGAGCGGGAAGAACGCUUCCUGGGUGAAUAUCCCGGGGAACUGACGGUACCGCUAAAGGAGCCCCGGCUAACUCCGUGCCAGCAGCCGCGGUAAUAAU